rnacentral:rRNA from 1 species
GAUGAACGCUGGCGGCGUGCCUAAUACAUGCAAGUCGAGCGAACAGACGAGGAGCUUGCUCCUCUGACGUUAGCGGCGGACGGGUGAGUAACACGUGGAUAACCUACCUAUAAGACUGGGAUAACUUCGGGAAACCGGAGCUAAUACCGGAUAAUAUAUUGAACCGCAUGGUUCAAUAGUGAAAGACGGUUUUGCUGUAACUUAUAGAUGGAUCCGCGCCGCAUUAGCUAGUUGGUAAGGUAACGGCUUACCAAGGCAACGAUGCGUAGCCGACCUGAGAGGGUGAUCGGCCACACUGGAACUGAGACACGGUCCAGACGCCUACGGGAGGCAGCAGUAGGGAAUCUUCCGCAAUGGGCGAAAGCCUGACGGAGCAACGCCGCGUGAGUGAUGAAGGUCUUCGGAUCGUAAAACUCUGUUAUUAGGGAAGAACAAAUGUGUAAGUAACUAUGCACGGCUUGACGGUACCUAAUCAGAAAGCCACGGCUAACUACGUG